rnacentral:rRNA from 1 species
GGCGAACGCUGGCGGCGUGCUUAACACAUGCAAGUCGAACGGAAAGGCCCUGCUUUUGUUGGGUGCUCGAGUGGCGAACGGGUGAGUAACACGUGAGUAACCUGCCCUUGACUUUGGGAUAACUUCAGGAAACUGGGGCUAAUACCGGAUAGGAGCUCCUGCUGCAUGGUGGGGGUUGGAAAGUUUCGGCGGUUGGGGAUGGACUCGCGGCUUAUCAGCUUGUUGGUGGGGUAGUGGCUUACCAAGGCUUUGACGGGUAGCCGGCCUGAGAGGGUGACCGGCCACAGUGGGACUGAGAUACGGCCCAGACUCCUACGGGAGGCAGCAGUGGGGAAUAUUGCACGAUGGGCGGAAGCCUGAUGCAGCAACGCCGCGUGCGGGAUGACGGCCUUCGGGUUGUAAACCGCUUUCGCCUGUGACGAAGCGUGAGUGACGGUAAUGGGUAAAGAAGCACCGGCUAACUACGUG